rnacentral:rRNA from 1 species
UACGUAGGGUGCGAGCGUUGUCCGGAAUUACUGGGCGUAAAGAGCUUGUAGGCGGUUUGUCGCGUUGUUCGUGAAAACUCACAGCUCAACUGUGGGCGUGCGGGCGAUACGGGCAGACUGGAGUACUGCAGGGGAGACUGGAAUUCCUGGUGUAGCGGUGGAAUGCGCAGAUAUCAGGAGGAACACCGGUGGCGAAGGCGGGUCUCUGGGCAGUAACUGACGCUGAGGAGCGAAAGCGUGGGGAGCGAACAGG